AUUGAACGCUGGCGGCAGGCUUAACACAUGCAAGUCGAGCGGAGUGAUGGUGCUUGCACUAUCACUUAGCGGCGGACGGGUGGGUAAUGCUUAGGAAUCUGCCUAUUAGUGGGGGACAACAUCUCGAAAGGGAUGCUAAUACCGCAUACGUCCUACGGGAGAAAGCAGGGGAUCACUUGUGACCUUGCGCUAAUAGAUGAGCCUAAGUCGGAUUAGCUAGUUGGUGGGGUAAAGGCCUACCAAGGCGACGAUCUGUAGCGGGUCUGAGAGGAUGAUCCGCCACACUGGGACUGAGACACGGCCCAGACUCCUACGGGAGGCAGCAGUGGGGAACACUGGACAAUGGGGGGAACCCUGAUCCAGCCAUGCCGCGUGUGUGAAGAAGGCCUUAUGGUUGUAAAGCACUUUAAGCGAGGAGGAGGCUCUUUUGGUUAAUACCCAAGAUGAGUGGACGUUACUCGCAGAAUAAGCACCGGCUAACUCUGUGCCAGCAGCCGCAGUAA
rnacentral:rRNA from 1 species